UACAGAGGGGGCAAGCGUUGUUCGGAAUUACUGGGCGUAAAGGGCGCGUAGGCGGCCCUCUAAGUCGAACGUGAAAUCCCUGGGCUCAACCCAGGAACUGCGUCCGAUACUGGAAGGCUUGAAUCCGGGAGAGGGAUGCGGAAUUCCAGGUGUAGCGGUGAAAUGCGUAGAUAUCUGGAGGAACACCGGUGGCGAAGGCGGCAUCCUGGACCGGUAUUGACGCUGAGGCGCGAAAGCCAGGGGAGCAAACGGG
rnacentral:rRNA from 1 species